rnacentral:tRNA from 1 species
AGGGGAGUAGCUCAAUUGGUAGAGCACCGGUCUCCAAAACCGGGGGCUGCGGGUUCGAUUCCUGUCUCCCCUG